CGGCCUUCCGCCCCUGACUUCACUUGAUAACAAACUAGAAACUGAAACAGGGUCGGGAUGCCGGCUUGGAGUUAGAGAUGAGUCACUGCUGAGAGCAGCUGCAGUAGCUGAGCAGUGGCAGCAGAGAGGCAGACGUGAGCUGAGGGCGCAGAGGCAGGCAGCAUCUCUGAGGGUCCCCAAGGAACAUGGCUGGGAGCCGUGAGGUGGUGGCCAUGGACUGCGAGAUGGUGGGGCUGGGGCCCCACCGGGAGAGUGGCCUGGCUCGUUGCAGCCUCGUGAACAUCCACGGUGCUGUGCUGUACGACAAGUUCAUCCGGCCUGAGGGAGAGAUCACCGAUUACAGAACCCGGGUCAGCGGGGUCACCCCUCAGCACAUGGUGGGGGCCACACCAUUUGCCGUGGCCAGGCUAGAGGUGAGUGAAGGCCAGGCCAG
rnacentral:lncRNA from 1 species